UGGCAGCUUUGAUACUGAUCUGGAAAG
rnacentral:piRNA from 1 species